GGUAGUUUUUAAAGAUACAACUUCAGAGACGACGAACAGCAGUCCUCCAGAAAGUACCCCCACAACUAUGAUUGUCUUGGUGGUGAUGUUUGGCUCCCUUUCACUUUUCUUUAGCAUCAUUCUCUUGGCUGUCAUUGAACAUGACUGGUCAUCAUUUACGAUCCGGGCAGGCUCAGAUUGAUGUGUGCGUUGGCACAAGAGAUCC